UCCUUCUUAGCUCAGUUGGUAGAGCGCGUCACUAGUAUAUAUCUCAUAUGAUAUGGAGUACUCUGAUGACGAGGUCAGUCGUUCAAGUCGGCUAGAAGGAA
rnacentral:tRNA from 1 species